rnacentral:lncRNA from 1 species
UGUGACGUCAUCACCUGGUGCCCAUAGUCCUUUCCAAGCGUCUGAAUGGCCCCAGGUGCACCGUUUUCUGACGCCCAGCUGCAGGGGCGAUGCUGGAGCAGCUUGGCUCCUGUGGGGACAGAGGGCUCCGUGUGCCCACUGUAGCACAUGUGCUGUAGUUUGUCACCCCUGCUCUACAGUGUAGAUUAAAUACUACUGUUUAGAAAGUUGUCGAGGAGUACACUUGUGCAAUAUUUCUGUUCAUAGCACCGCCAUCUGACCAGUUUUUCGACCAGUACCCUGAACUGCCUUCAGUGUGUCUCUAUCCAUCGCAUCCUGCGUGUAGUUCAGCAGUGUCCACUGGCCUCUUUCCUUGGCGUCUUGCUUCUCAGUGCAUUUUCUGCAUUCCUGCGCACUGUUCUUCCUUCAAGCCACCGCUCUGCUGCAGCAUGUGUCUCAUUUCCCCACUUUUCUCUUUCAUGUUGUACAAUUUAUUCUGCUAACACAGAUGUUUAGAAAAUUCAAAUCUGGCCAUGUUACCACUUGCUUAAAACAUGUCCAUAAUAUCUCAUAAAUUCUUAAUAGAAAGUGUAAAAUUCUUAAAAUGAGCUGAAUUAAAAGCCCAUUGCAGUGUAUUCCUUGCCCGAUUUCCUAGUGUUCUUCUUUCUUCUUCACCGCCUUCUUCACCGACACCUGCUGUUUCCCAGCGUUCUCCCUGGCCCACGCGACCCAGUGCUCUUACACAGUGCUUCCUCGGCGCUCCCGGUACGCGCGCUUCAGCUGUAGUAACUUUCCCCAGAAAUCUCCCUGAGUAAGGUGCUCCUUCCCUCCUGCCCUGCC